rnacentral:piRNA from 1 species
UUGACAAGUAUUCUACAACAG